GGGCCCGUAGCCUAGCCAGGAUAGGGCGCCGGCCUCCGGAGCCGGUGAUCCGGGGUUCAAAUCCCCGCGGGCCCG
rnacentral:tRNA from 2 species